rnacentral:rRNA from 1 species
GACGAACGCUGGCGGCGUGCCUAAUACAUGCAAGUCGAGCGCAGGAAACUGACGGAACUCUUCGGAGGGAAGGCAGUGGAAUGAGCGGCGGACGGGUGAGUAACACGUAAGGAACCUGCCUCAAGGAUUGGGAUAACUCCGAGAAAUCGGAGCUAAUACCGGAUAGUUCAACGGACCGCAUGGUCCGCUGAGGAAAGGCGCUCCGGCGUCACCUUGAGAUGGCCUUGCGGUGCGUUAGCUAGUUGGUGGGGUAACGGCCCACCAAGGCGACGAUGCAUAGCCGACCUGAGAGGGUGAUCGGCCACACUGGGACUGAGACACGGCCCAGACUCCUACGGGAGGCAGCAGUAGGGAAUCUUCCACAAUGGACGAAAGUCUGAUGGAGCAACGCCGCGUGAGUGAUGAAGGUUUUCGGAUCGUAAAACUCUGUUGUAAGGGAAGAACACGUACGAGAGGGAAUGCUCGUACCUUGACGGUACCUUACGAGAAAGCCACGGCUAACUACGUGCCAGCCGCCGCCGUAA